rnacentral:lncRNA from 1 species
CCCUAUAUCAAAAUCUCACCUACCACUCGAAAAUCGUCAAAAUUCCCAUUUCGCCAAUUCAAGCUCAAAUCUACUUUGAACUUCCAAAAUACAUUCCGAUCACGCUCCUAAGUCCCAAAUUACCUCCCGAAGCUAUCCAAAGCACCGGAACUCACAUCCAAGCCCUCUAACACAUAAGUCAACAUUCGGUUGACUUUUUCAACUUAG